rfam:Schistosoma rodhaini strain Burundi genome assembly, scaffold: SROB_scaffold0003533
AUACCGCUGAAGAGUCCCACCAUAGGACGAAAUGGCCGUCCAGUGC